UUUCAAUGGCUAAGUCAAAGAUCUCUCUUGGAGACGUGCUUUCUCUGCAUUUCCAGGCUCUGUGAAAUAUGUUGCCAGGCGUGUCUGUCUGCAGCAGGACAGUCUGAGCAUCGCUUGCCAUUCGGUGCUCGUGAAAAGGAGGUACGAAGACUGAGAGUCAGGGUAACAUUUGAAGUUUUAUUACGGCCUUUAAGUUUCUUAAAAAACAAACCAACCUCAGUGCACCUACACUAAAUCCUACCUGGUCAAACAAGAAGAGUCUGAUUGCUUUGGUGAGAGAAGUCUUUACCAAUCAUUCCUCUAAAGUACUGCUCUACAUCGUUAUGGGCUUUGGAGCUAUAUUUGAGAUUAUCGUUAAUUCAGAGGAGCAUUGGGACCACUCACGUUUACAUAGACAUAUAACCAGAGAAGUUGUGUGAAAAUAAAUUUCUCCUCCAACCCAGGAGGAUGAACCUUUCCAUCUGU